CGCCUUGCCAGCCCGCUCAGAACUUAAAGGAAUUGAGGGGCCCGCACAAGCGGUGGAGCAUGUGGUUUAAUUCGAUGAUACGCGAGGAACCUUACCUGGGCUCAAAUGUAUGUUGACGUAUUCUGAAAGGGAUACUUCUUCGGACAAUAUACAAGGUGCUGCAUGGUUGUCGUCAGCUCGUGCCGUGAGGUGUCGGGUUAAGUCCCAUAACGAGCGCAACCCCUAUCAUUAGUUGCCAUCAGGUCAAGCUGGGGACUCUAAUGAAACUGCCUACGCAAGUAGUGAGGAAGGUGGGGAUGACGUCAAAUCAGCACGGCCCUUACGUCCAGGGCUACACACGUGCUACAAUGGUCGGUACAAAGGGUUGCCAAGCCGCGAGGUGGAGCUAAUCCCAUAAAACCGAUCGUAGUCCGGAUCGCAGUCUGCAACUCGACUGCGUGAAGUCGGAAUCGCUAGUAAUCGUGAAUCAGAAUGUCACGGUGAAUACGUUCCCGGGCCUU
rnacentral:rRNA from 1 species